rnacentral:rRNA from 1 species
UACGAGGGGGGCUAGCGUUGCUCGGAAUUACUGGGCGUAAAGCGCACGUAGGCGGCUUCUUAAGUCGGUGGUGAAAUCCUGGAGCUCAACUCCAGAACUGCCUUCGAUACUGGGAAGCUCGAGUCCGGGAGAGGUGAGUGGAACUGCGAGUGUAGAGGUGAAAUUCGUAGAUAUUCGCAAGAACACCAGUGGCGAAGGCGGCUCACUGGCCCGGUACUGACGCUGAGGUGCGAAAGCGUGGGGAGCAAACAGG